GACGUAGGGCGCGAGCGUUGUCCGGAUUUAUUGGGCGUAAAGAGCUCGUAGGCGGCUUGUCGCGUCGACUGUGAAAACCCGUGGCUCAACCAUGUGGUCUGCAGUCGAUACGGGCAGGCUAGAAUUCGGUAGGGGAGACUGGAAUUCCUGGUGUAGCGGUGAAAUGCGCAGAUAUCAGGAGGAACACCGGUGGCGAAGGCGGGUCUCUGGGCCGACACUGACGCUGAUGCGCGAAAGCCAGGGGAGCGAACGGG
rnacentral:rRNA from 1 species